rnacentral:misc_RNA from 1 species
UGCACACAGACACACAUGCAUAUGUGCAUAUAUGUGUGUGCGUAUACGCGCGUGCCCGUGUGUAGGCUGCUGCCUGUUUCCGUUUGCCGUUGCGCGUGCUUUUAUGUGUUUGUGCUUUGCGUGGCUUUGGCGGUGCAGCGCACGACUUCGCGUUGCGUGUGUGUCUCGGUGCUCGUGUCGGAUGUCUGCGCAAUACGGUAGCCGACGGGGAUUGUGUCGCCGGCGCCCUCUCUCUCAUGCGCGUCGGCACCCCGCGGAAGCACCUGCAUGGAUGCUGCUUUGCUGUCGUUGUCCGCGCACGCGGCUCUCCGCCUCCUUUCGCUUGCCCCUCGGCUUUGCGUGCACCCUCGCCGCUCUCCUGGUCUCGACCCCGUCGUUGUGGGGGCGCGUUUGCGGGCGCGGGCGUACGGAAGGCUGCAGGGGGCCGACGGUCGCGAACAACGUUGCGGGGACAGCGAGGGUGAAAGCGGGUUCGUACGCGGCACGCCGGAGGGAAGAGGAAGCGAUGGCGCUUGGCGGUGCAUACACCAGGCUUCACGAUCUAGAACAUGCGUGAGGGCAAGGGAGGCGGCGAGCACGUCAGCCAACGCACCACCGCCUGCCUCACCUGACUCUCCCUUUGCCUCUCUCUGUUAUCCCGCUCGCAUUCCUUCCUGUGUGUCCGUGGGGCUGAUGCCUUGCUCCGCUCACUCGUGUGCUGUCGAGCGCCGAGGCGACCCGGUGUGGCAUAGGGAGGGGGCGCCACAGAGAGGGCGGAGAACGCGUGCCCCCUCCGGCAAUCGAAGAAGCGGGACGCCCGUCGCUUCUCUGCGGGAGGCGGACAGAGAGUGUAUGCUCCUGCCGUGGCCAAUGCCCGUGCGCACGUCGACGCUAUCGUUAUCGUUUUGGCUGUACUCGUUUGCCCCGCUUCCGCCAUUCGGCCCCGUCUUCCCUUCUGUGCGGUGCUCGCGCGCUCUUCUCCCUUCCUUUUCUCUGUUGGCUUUGCUUUUGUGUUGCCAUGACCUGUCCGACAUCCUGCACCAUCCCUCUGCCUCCGCCCUCUGCAACAACCCAG